UCCCUGGUGGUCCAGUGGUUAGGACUCUGCGCUUUCACUGCUGAGGGUCUGGGUUCAAUCCCUGGUUGGGAA
rnacentral:tRNA from 1 species